rnacentral:rRNA from 1 species
GUGAGUAAUGUCUGGGAAACUGCCUGAUGGAGGGGGAUAACUACUGGAAACGGUAGCUAAUACCGCAUAACGUCGCAGGACCAGGGAGGGGGACCUUCGGGCCUCUUGCCAUCAGAUGUGCCCAGAUGGGAUUAGCUAGUAGGUGGGGUAACGGCUCACCUAGGCGACGAUCCCUGGCUGGACUGAGAGGAUGACCACCCACGCUGGAACCGACCCACCGUCCUGACUCCUACGGGAGGUAGGAGUGGGGACUCUUUACCCUG